rfam:Cryptosporangium arvum DSM 44712 genomic scaffold CryarDRAFT_CAH.1, whole genome shotgun sequence.
UCGGUUCCGGUUCACGCUGCGCUCCGCCUGGAGGCCGCGACCCGGCGACC